rnacentral:rRNA from 1 species
UACGGAGGGUGCGAGCGUUGUCCGGAAUCACUGGGCGUAAAGGGCGCGUAGGCGGCCCUGGCAGUCGGUGGUGAAAGCCCGUGGCUCAACUGCGGGUCGGCCACCGAUACUCCAGGGCUCGAGUUUGGUAGAGGCAGAUGGAAUUCCGGGUGUAGCGGUGGAAUGCGUAGAGAUCCGGAAGAACACCGGUGGCGAAGGCGGUCUGCUGGGCCAAGACUGACGCUGAGGCGC